GUUGACCUCGGAUCAGGUGGGGAUACCCGCUGAACUUAAGCAUAUCAAUAAGCGGAGGA
rnacentral:rRNA from 1 species